CAAGUCGAGGGGCAGCAGGUGUAGCAAUACAUGCUGGCGACCGGCGCACGGGUGCGUAACACGCUAUACNNNCUUUCCUUAACUGGUGAAUAGCUUUGAGAAAUCAGAAUUAAUACACCAUAGCAUUAUGAAGUGGCAUCACUUUAUAAUUAAGGCUCAGGCGGUUAAGGGUGAGUAUGCGCCCCAUUAGCUAGUUGGUGAGGUAAUGGCUCACCAAGGCAACGAUGGGUAGGGGUUCUAAGAGGAUUUACCCCCACACGGGAACUGAGACACGGUCCCGACUCCUACGGGAGGCAGCAGUAAGGAAUAUUGGUCAAUGGGCGCAAGCCUGAACCAGCCAUGCCGCGUGUAGGAUGAAGGUUCUAUGGAUUGUAAACUACUUUUGUACGGGAAAAAACCCUUGGUUUCCACCGAGGUUGAUGGUACCGUAAGAAUAAGGAUCGGCUAACUCCGUGCCAGCAGCCGCGGUAAUACGGAGGAUCCAAGCGUUAUCCGGAUUCACUGGGUUUAAAGGGUGCGUAUGUGGAACGUCAAGUCAGUGGUGAAAUACUGCAGCUUAACUGUAGAACUGCCAUUGAUACUGUCGUUCUUGAGUACAUUUGAUGUGAGCGGAAUGUGUCGUGUAGCGGUGAAAUGCUUAGAUAUGACACAGAACACCAAUUUGCGAAGGCAGCUCACAAAACUGUAACUGACACUGAGGCACGAAAGCGUGGGGAGCAAACAGGAUUAGAUACCCUGGUAGUCCACGCUGUAAACGUUGAUUACUAA
rnacentral:rRNA from 1 species